GGGGCGCGCAGCUACCUGCAGUCGAGCGGAACGAUGGAGCUUGCUCCAGGCGUCGAGCGGCGGACGGGUGAGUAAUGCAUAGGAAUCUGCCCGGUAGUGGGGGAUAACCUGGGGAAACCCAGGCUAAUACCGCAUACGUCCUACGGGAGAAAGCAGGGGAUCUUCGGACCUUGCGCUAUCGGAUGAGCCUAUGUCGGAUUAGCUAGUUGGUGAGGUAAUGGCUCACCAAGGCGACGAUCCGUAGCUGGUCUGAGAGGAUGAUCAGCCACAUCGGGACUGAGACACGGCCCGAACUCCUACGGGAGGCAGCAGUGGGGAAUAUUGGACAAUGGGCGCAAGCCUGAUCCAGCCAUGCCGCGUGUGUGAAGAAGGCUUUCGGGUUGUAAAGCACUUUCAGUGAGGAAGAACGCCUUGGGGCCAAUACCCCCAAGGGAGGACAUCACUCACAGAAGAAGCACCGGCUAACUCCGUGCCAGCAGCCGCGGUAAUACGGAGGGUGCGAGCGUUAAUCGGAAUUACUGGGCGUAAAGCGCGCGUAGGCGGCGUGAUAAGCCGGUUGUGAAAGCCCCGGGCUCAACCUGGGAACGGCAUCCGGAACUGUCAGGCUAGAGUGCAGGAGAGGAAGGUAGAAUUCCCGGUGUAGCGGUGAAAUGCGUAGAGAUCGGGAGGAAUACCAGUGGCGAAGGCGGCCUUCUGGACUGACACUGACGCUGAGGUGCGAAAGCGUGGGUAGCAAACAGGAUUAGAUACCCUGGUAGUCCACGCCGUAAACGAUGUCGACUAGCCGUUGGGGUCCUAGAGACCUUUGUGGCGCAGUUAACGCGAUAAGUCGACCGGCUGGGGAGUACG
rnacentral:rRNA from 1 species